AGGGCAGGGUUCACAGAGCUAUUUUCAGUUCUCUUGCAGGAUCUCCUUCCCAGCCUUCAGAAAUUGCCGGUCUGGGAGUUGGGGGCAAGGAGAAGAUCCUGCCCAGCAUCUGCAGCCCAUGAGAACUUCCUGCCACUGAUUGACAUGGUUGAAGUGCAUUCAGACAGGAACAUAAUCUCAUGCAAUUUAUUGCAGAAAAUGGUACAAAGGGCUGGGGCCUUGGGAGAGGCAGCAGAAGUCUCACAAGACCAGAGAAACAGCCUCAGAUCUUCCCUCUGGGGAAUCCAGACAAUAGCAACUGCCGGCUUUUUUCCACUGGAAUAUUACCACACGUGGCGAAAAAGAAACUAUUCUAAAGAGAGUGACCAAGAGGGAAGUAACAAUGCCUUUUAUGAUCUAGUCUCUGUAUUCACACAUGAUCACUUCUUCUUUAUUCUAUUGGUCAUACAAACCAAUCCAGACACACAGGGACUAACAAGGAUAUGAACACCAGCAGAUGAAGAUCAUCAGUACCAUCUUGGAGGCUGGCUACCACAACCGCCUCAGUUGUUUUAAUUUGCAUUUCUUUGAUUACUGGCCAGGUUGACUGUGUUUCCUCACAGUCUGUUUACUAACCAUGCUUCCUUUUAUGUGAGCCGCCUGUGUCCUUUGCCCAUUUAUGUUUUCAAAUGCCAAAAUAAGUUUCCUCUCUGUGGGAAUGAAUCAUCAAUUUUUUAAAUGUAUGGAGAGAAUGUUUUCUGCAGAAACAGCCUGGGGUUUCAGGAAGGCAGGCCCAGUUCAGGGGUGCCUUGGGAGCAAAGGUCCUGUCAUUCCAACACUAAGCAACCCAGUGAUUCCAUGGAAAGCAGAAAGAAGGACAUAAAGAAACGGAUACUUGGUGACAUCUUUGACUCACUGGAUCAAACCUUGCCUGAAGCUCACAUUUCUGAAAUUUCCAGAUACAAGAACAAAUACUUCCUCUUUAUUGUUUUACUAGAUUUGAGACAAGCUUUAAGUUUCUCAGACUCUUCCUCUUCCUAACAGAUUUAUCAGAAGCUGAAAGCUCUGAUCUUGUUGGGAUGCGGAUCGUGUCAGGAGAAGGCUUACUUUGCACGCUUUUCUUAGUCUGGUUGCCUAACUCAAGAACCUCGGCAUGGCUCUGUUACUUCUCUACUCAGACAAGCAUCCCUGCAGACACUCACUAGGCUAACUCUGUCUUUAUUUUUAGAAUUAGACCUUUACGAGAAGCACAGUUUUGUCUUCAGUUUCCUCUCCCCCCACCCGGAAUGGCCUGAGCCGAAGCCAGCUCCCUCCGAGAAGUCAUUACCGCCUGACUUGCGUUUGAUAUUUAGACACCUUGGUCACAACAUCUUGCAUUCUCUCGGGAUGCUGAUUUCUAACUGCUCUUUGGCCUUUCCUGCAUUGGUCCUCCUCAGGCAGGGGAUCCCUGCUCUUCUAUAUUGGUGAGAAAACCAAGGCUCAGAGAAACUGUGGAUUUUCUAAGGUUUCUUGAGGGCAGAGAGCAUGUUGCAGUCACCUCUGAACCUCCUUCUGCUGAAAGCAACCUACAGAUGCUGGCUCCCCGUCCCCUGUCCACCAUGAGUCAAAGCAAUGUGAGUCCCUCACCAGAUGCAACUGCCCAGUCUUGGACUUUCCAGUGACCAGAAUCAUGAGCCAAAUAAACCUCUUUUCUUUAU
rnacentral:lncRNA from 1 species